CACGUGGGCAACCUGCCCGUAAGACUGGGAUAACUCCGGGAAACCGGGGCUAAUACCGGAUAACACAAGGAACCGCAUGGUUCCUUGUUGAAAGGCGGCUUUGGCUGUCACUUACGGAUGGGCCCGCGGCGCAUUAGCUAGUUGGUGAGGUAACGGCUCACCAAGGCGACGAUGCGUAGCCGACCUGAGAGGGUGAUCGGCCACACUGGGACUGAGACACGGCCCAGACUCCUACGGGAGGCAGCAGUAGGGAAUCUUCCGCAAUGGACGAAAGUCUGACGGAGCAACGCCGCGUGAGCGAAGAAGGUCUUCGGAUCGUAAAGCUCUGUUGUUAGGGAAGAACAAGUACCGUUCGAAUAGGGCGGUACCUUGACGGUACCUAACCAGAAAGCCACGGCUAACUACGUGCCAGCAGCCGCGGUAAUACGUAGGUGGCAAGCGUUGUCCGGAAUUAUUGGGCGUAAAGCGCGCGCAGGCGGUUCCUUAAGUCUGAUGUGAAAGCCCACGGCUCAACCGUGGAGGGUCAUUGGAAACUGGGGGACUUGAGUGCAGGAGAGGGGAGCGGAAUUUCCAUGUGUAGCGGUGAAAUGCGUAGAGAUAUGGAGGACACCAGUGGCGAAGGCGGCUCUCUGGCCUGUAACUGA
rnacentral:rRNA from 1 species